rnacentral:rRNA from 1 species
GUAGGGGAGACUGGAAUUCCUGGUGUAGCGGUGGAAUGCGCAGAUAUCAGGAGGAACACCGAUGGCGAAGGCAGGUCUCUGGGCUGUAACUGACGCUGAGAAGCGAAAGCAUGGGGAGCGAACAGGAUUAGAUACCCUGGUAGUCCAUGCCGUAAACGUUGGGCACUAGGUGUGGGGGACAUUCCACGUUUUCCGCGCCGUAGCUAACGCAUUAAGUGCCCCGCCUGGGGAGUACGGCCGCAAGGCUAAAACUCAAAGAAAUUGACGGGGGCCCGCACAAGCGGCGGAGCAUGCGGAUUAAUUCGAUGCAACGCGAAGAACCUUACCAAGGCUUGACAUAUACUGGACUCCCCUAGAGAUAGGGUUUCCCUUCGGGGCUGGUAUACAGGUGGUGCAUGGUUGUCGUCAGCUCGUGUCGUGAGAUGUUGGGUUAAGUCCCGCAACGAGCGCAACCCUCGUUCUAUGUUGCCAGCACGUGAUGGUGGGGACUCAUAGGAGACUGCCGGGGUCAACUCGGAGGAAGGUGGGGAUGACGUCAAAUCAUCAUGCCCCUUAUGUCUUGGGCUUCACGCAUGCUACAAUGGCCGGUACAAAGGGUUGCGAUACUGUGAGGUUGAGCUAAUCCCAAAAAGCCGGUCUCAGUUCGGAUUGGGGUCUGCAACUCGACCCCAUGAAGUCGGAGUCGCUAGUAAUCGCAGAUCAGCAACGCUGCGGUGAAUACGUUCCCGGGCCUUGUACACACCGCCCGUCAAGUCACGAAAGUUGGUAACACCCGAAGCCGAUGGCCUA